CCUACGGGGUGCAGCAGUGAGGAAUAUUGGUCAAUGGACGAGCGUCUGAACCAGCCAAGUAGCGUGAAGGAUGACUGCCCUAUGGGUUGUAAACUUCUUUUAUAUGGGAAUAAAACGUUCCACGUGUGGGAUUUUGUAUGUACCAUAUGAAUAAGGAUCGGCUAACUCCGUGCCAGCAGCCGCGGUAAUACGGAGGAUCCGAGCGUUAUCCGGAUUUAUUGGGUUUAAAGGGAGCGUAGGUGGAUUGUUAAGGCAGUUGUGAAAGUUUGCGGCUCAACCGUAAAAUUGCAGUUGAAACUGGCAGUCUUGAGUACAGUAGAGGUGGGCGGAAGUCGUGGUGUAGCGGUGAAAUGCUUAGAUAUCACGAAGAACUCCGAUUGCGAAGGCAGUUCACUGGACUGCAACUGACACUGAGGCUCGAAAGUGUGGGUAUCAAACAGGAUUAGAUACCCGAGUAGUC
rnacentral:rRNA from 1 species